UACCAGCUCUCCGAGUGGUAGGGAUGAUUAUUGGGCUUAAAGCGUCCGUAGCCGGCUUAGCAAGUCUCCCGUUAAAUUCAGCGACCUAAUCGUUGAGCCGCGGGAGAUACUACUAGGCUAGGAGGCGGGAGAGGUCAACGGUACUUCCGGGGUAGGGGUGAAAUCCUAUAAUCCCGGGAGGACCACCAGUGGCGAAGGCUGUUGACUAGAACGCGCUCGACGGUGAGGGACGAAAGCUGGGGGAGCGAACCGGAUUAGAUACCCGGGUAGUCCCAGCUGUAAACGAUGCGAGCUAGGUGUUGGGGUGGCUACGUGCCACUUCAGUGCCGCAGGGAAGCCAUUAAGCUCGCCGCCUGGGGAGUACGGCCGCGAGGCUGAAACUUAAAGGAAUUGGCGGGGGAGCACCACAAGGCGUGAAGCUUGCGGUUC
rnacentral:rRNA from 1 species